rnacentral:tRNA from 1 species
GACCCAGUAGCUCAGUUGGUAGAGCGCGUGAACGCCUGCGCCGAUAGCGGGAGUAACGUCAUAGAGGUCGAGAGUUCAAAUCUCUCCUGGGUCU